AUGAAGUAAUAAAGCGAAACGCGUCGUAUUUUGUCAAAUCACGAAGUGCUGAAGUAAUAUCUUUUAAUAAAAGUGCGGGAGUGCCGUUUAAAGUAUCGCGCGUGUGAAUCGACCUGAGAGGAGGAGGAGGCGGCCUAGGAGAGGCAUCGGACACCGGCGGAGCAGUUCUGUGAUCAACGAUCCUGACAUCCUGAGAGGAGGAGCAGGCCUAGGAGAGGCAUCCUGCACCGGCGGAGCAACCCAAGGACAACGUAGCCUCAAGACCAACAACUCCGCUGUUGCGCAUCAGUGCCGGUGAGUGACAAACUUUUAUUUAAUUUUAAAGUAACGGAUUUGCAGAUAUUGUAGAUGUAGAUUGUAAAUUAUAGAUUGUAGAUUGUAGAUAAAUCCGUUACUUUUAAAUGUGGAUGAGCUAAAACAGAUUAAGUUGAAUAACUUUUAAUAAGUUCUUUUGAUAUGCAUUGCAUUUAUUGCAAAAAUAAAUUAAAGUUUAAGAAGGAAAAUUAUAAAAAAAAAAUCCAUUUUUUCCAAUUUGUAGAUUCAAUUUUAUCUGAUUUGAUUGAAUAAAGAAUACUAGUGAUUUUAUAAAUUAUCGUGUGACAAUUUUUUCUUAUAACGCGCACUGAUCUUAUCCUAAUUUCUUAUAAUUCAU